rnacentral:rRNA from 1 species
UACGGGGGGGGUAAGCGUUGUUCGGAAUUACUGGGCGUAAAGCGUGCGCAGGCGGCUUUGCAAGACAGAUGUGAAAUCCCCGGGCUUAACCUGGGAACUGCAUUUGUGACUGCAUGGCUGGAGUGCGGCAGAGGGGGAUGGAAUUCCGCGUGUAGCAGUGAAAUGCGUAGAUAUGCGGAGGAACACCGAUGGCGAAGGCAAUCCCCUGGGCCUGCACUGACGCUCAUGCACGAAAGCGUGGGGAGCAAACAGG